GGCAAGAUGGCCGAGCGGUCUAAGGCGCUGUCUUCAGGUUUAAAUCUGGUCUGGCAGUCCGAAAGGGCGUGGGUUCGAAUCCCACUCUUGUCA